rnacentral:rRNA from 1 species
GACGUAGGAGGCAAGCGUUGUCCGGAGUUACUGGGCGUAAAGCGCGCGCAGGCGGCCCUGUACGCUGCCGGUGAAAGCUCCCGGCUCACCUGGGAGAGGUUCGGCAGUACGGCAGGGCUUGAGGGCGGUAGAGGGUGGUGGAAUUCCCGGUGUAGUGGUGAAAUGCGUAGAUAUCGGGAGGAACACCAGUGGCGAAGGCGGCUUCCUGGCCUGUUCUUGACGCUGAGGCGCGAAAGCUAGGGGAGCAAAGCGGGGAUUAAGAAACC